GACGUAGGGGACGAGCGUUGUCCGGAUUCAUUGGGCGUAAAGCGCGCGUAGGCGGUUACGCAAGUCGGUUGUGAAAAUCCGGGGCUCAACCCCGGACCUGCAUCCGAUACUGCGUGACUAGAGGUAGGUAGGGGGAGAUCGGAAUUCCUGGUGUAGCGGUGAAAUGCGCAGAUAUCAGGAGGAACACCGGUGGCGAAGGCGGAUCUCUGGGCCUUACCUGACGCUGAGGCGCGAAAGCUAGGGGAGCGAACAGG
rnacentral:rRNA from 1 species